GAUGAACGCUGGCGGCGUGCCUAAUACAUGCAAGUCGAGCGAACAGAUAAGGAGCUUGCUCCUUGGACGUUAGCGGCGGAAGGGUGAGUAACACGUGGAUAACAUACCUAUAAUACUGGGAUAACUUCGGGAAACCGGAGCGAAUACCGGAUAACAUAUUGAACCGCAUGGUUCAAUAGUGAAAGGCGGCUUUGCUGUCACUGAUAGAUGGAUCCGCGCCGUAUUAGCUAGUUGGUAAGGUAACGGCUCACCAAGGCAACGAUACGUAGCCGACCUGAGAGGGUGAUCGGCCACACUGGAACUGAGACACGGUCCAGACUCCUACGGGAGGCAGCAGUAGGGAAUCUUCCGCAAUGGGCGAAAGCCUGACGGAGCAACGCCGCGUGAGUGAUGAAGGUCUUCGGAUCGUAAAACUCUGUUAUCAGGGAAGAACAAAUUUGUAAGUAACUGUGCACAUCUUGACGGUACCUGAUCAGAAAGCCACGGCUAACUACGUG
rnacentral:rRNA from 1 species